UUCCCGGCUCCUGGUCGCCAUGGGGGCAAUGGGGGCUGUGCCACCCCCCCCUGUGGGGCCGAGCCAAGAGGAGCCGCGUCCGCCGCUGCCGCCCCAUAGAGCCGCAGUACCCGCUGAUGACGACCAAGGUGGGUUCCGCCACCCCUGUGAACGUCACUUUCUGGGGGGAGGCGCUGCCCCGUUGCGCCCCACUUUUGGGGCAGACGAGAGAGCUGGAGGAGAGCCGGCCCUGCCUGCAUCCGUGGGGCUGCCCCACAGAUGGGGAGGACUGACGGCCGCCGGACCCCCAGAUCUGCGCCUUUCCCCCCAAUUUCCUCCCCUCAAUAAAACCCCAGCAAUGCAGCGCUGUCUCUUUAAAUCUGGGCGGGGCUACAACCGGACGUGACGUCACCGGCACCUCACCUACGCCCCGCCCACCUCCACUGCAGAACCGAGGGCGGGGCGGCGAGUGACGUCACCGCGAAGCCACGCCUCCCCCUCCCCCCCCUUCCUCCUGUUUGGCUGCAGCGGCUUGUGGGCGUGGCUUGGGAGGAGGAGGCGUGGCCUCGCCGCGUUGUGGGGCGUGGUUUGCGAGCCUAGUGGGCGUGGCUGGAGCGUUUGUGGGCGUGGUUACGGGGGGUAGGUAAUGAGGCAGGAGCGGAAGUGACGUCACGGGGAGGGGGCGGGGCUUCCCCGAGGGCUGCAGCCGGGCUCCUAUAGGGCUCCUAUAGGGCCGCCCCACAGCUCCCCCUAUAGGGCUCCUAUAGGGCUGCCCCACAGCUCCCUCUAUAGGGCUCCUAUAGGGCUGCCCCACAGCUCCCUCUAUAGGGCCCGGCAGCUCUUUCCCCCUGCCCCCCCCAUCCUUCUUCCCCUAUAGGAGCCCCUAUAGAUUUUCCCCCCUAUAGCCCCCCCCACCCCAUAGAUCCUAUACAUCCCCUAUAGGGCUCCCUAUAGAUCCUUUCCCCCUAUAGCGCCCCACAGACCCCACAUCUCCCCUCCCCAUCCCUUCCCCCCUAUAAGAACCUCCUAGACCCCCCAGAUCCCUUUCCCCUAUAGGGCUCCUCAUCCAACCCCCCCCUAUAGAACCCCCCCACACACCCUAUAGGGACUCCCCCUAUAGAAGGGCCACCCUAUAGGGUGAGACCAUAUAGCAGGCCCUUAUAGGGGAUCCUGGUCUUUUAUAGGGCCCACCCCAUAGGAUUCCCCAUAGACCCCAUAGGAUCCCCUGUAGGACCCCAUAGAAACCCCUAUAGGACCCCAUAGGAACCCCUAUAGGACCCCAUAGGAUCCCCUAUAGGACCCCAUAGGAUCCCUUAUAGGACCCCAUAGAAUCUCCUAUAGGACCCCAUAGGAUCCCUUAUAGGACCCCAUAGAAACCUCUAUAGGACCCCAUAGGAACCCCUAUAGGACCCCAUAGGAUCCCCUAUAGGACCCCAUAGGAUCCCUUAUAGGACCCCAUAGGAUCCCUCAUCCCCACCAAGGACCCCAUAGACCCUAUAGCUCCCCCCCCCAUCCCCUAUAAAGCCCAGCAGCCCCAUAGGACCCCAUAGGACCCCCUUCCCCUAUAGGGACCCUUUUCUCCCCUAUAGGACCCUCCUUAGAGCCCCCCCGGAGACCCCAAAGAUCCCACUGUCCCUAUAGAGCCCUAUAGGGCCUCCACAAACCCCAUAGGACCCCCCCCCCCCGGCCCCUAUAGGGACCCCAUAGCCCCUAUAGAACCCCCCCAUAGG